UACGUAGGAUGCAAGCGUUGUUCGGAAUUACUGGGCGUAAAGAGUACGUAGGCGGUAUGUUAAGUCUGACAUUAAAGACCGGAGCUCAACUCCGGGACUGUAUCGGAAACUGGCAAACUAGAGGACAAUAGAGGAAGUCGGAAUUCUCAGUGUAGCGGUGAAAUGCGUAGAUAAUUGGGAAGAACACCAGUGGCGAAAGCGGACUUC
rnacentral:rRNA from 1 species